UACGUAGGCAGCAAGCGUUGUUCGGAAUUACUGGGCGUAAAGAGUGUGUAGGCGGUGCUCUAAGUUUGGUGUGAAAUCUCCCGGCUCAACUGGGAGGGUGCGCCGAAAACUGGAAUGCUUGAACGUGGGAGAGGAAAGCGGAAUUCCUGGUGUAGCGGUGAAAUGCGUAGAUAUCAGGAGGAACACCUGCGGUGUAGACGGCUUCUGGACCAUUGUUGACGCUGAGACACGAAAGCGUGGGUAGCAAACAGG
rnacentral:rRNA from 1 species